AAACGAGCUGCUUUCACAAAUUAUUUCGACAAAAGCGAAGAGCGCGAAGCCGGGUGCGGCUACACGCAAGUGUGGACGGUCCGCCGCUGGAGUACGGAACACGCGGAGCGCACUUUUUGCGGGGACUGGUCCGUGCAGAAACGACCGUGACGUAUCGGCCAUUCCCGAGCGCUGCUAUCCUCGUUCCCGGCCGAGUAGCUCCCUUUUGAGCCUGCUUUCAGAUCGACGGAUCUGACGCAACAGAUCAUAAGCAAAUUUUAAGAUAUGUUGCACGUGGCACAAUUUAAAUACACUUAUUUUUGUAGAAGCUUUUGGUACCAGGCUGCGUUUGAAACGCGUAGAAUUGAACUUUUCGAAGGUAACAAGAGUAUCGAGAAAAGUAUAUAAACUGUUGAUUAUGAAAAUACAAAUACUUAAUGCGCAAAAUAACGUACGAUACAAUAUUAGAUAUAUUUUGUAUAAGAAAAUAUACAUUAUAACUUUUUACGUUAGACUAACAAAUAUGCCCCAUAGUAGUAAA